UUGGAGGGGCACGCGAGCUACGAUAUGGAGGUGACCCUUGUGGAAACCAACCUGUCUUGUCUAUUACUCCAGGAAAAACUUCUAAACUCUUCGCAAGAAGAGAAGUUAUCUGGUAAUCGUACCGCAAACCGACACUGGUAAACUGGUGUAAAUGCACCAAGGCGAACGAGUGAUGCGUGGUUCAGGAAUUCGGCAAAUUGACCCCGUAACUUCGGGAUAAGGGGGGCCAUACGUUAUGGAUUUAUUUCUUGUAACGAUUAUGGCCGCAGAGAAUAGGAGAGAACGACUAGUUAACAAAACUACAGGUGCUUGCAAAUUCGUAAGAAGAUGUAUAAGUGCUGACGCCUGCCCAAUGCCAGAAGGUUAAGGAAGUUCGUCAUCAUGCUUUCCUGGGAGCUUGCUCUCAGGGAUGCGGAGAAGCGGAUGCCCGAAGCCCUGGUGAAUGGCGGCUGUAACUAUAACGGUCCUAAGGUAGCUUAAUACCUCGCCACUUAAUUAGUGGCUUGCAUGAAAGGCGUAACGAUUCUCUCGCUGUCUUGAUCACGCGCUCGGCGAAACUGAAAUGGCUGUGAAGAUGCGGCCUACCCGUACGAGGACAAAAAGACCCCGUGGAGCUUUGCUGCAGCUUUGCAUUGGAAUAAGGUUCCGGAUGAAUAGAAUAGGUGGGAGACUUGGAACUCGGCUCGUUAGGGCUGGGGGAGUCGACAGUGUAAUACCACUCUUUUGGCACUUUGUUUCUAAAUUUUCCUGUUACCCAGGUGAAUAACAGUGCACGGCAGGCAGUUUGACUGGGGCGGUUGCUUGCGAAAGAGUAACGCAAGCGCACAAAGGUCUCCUCAAUCCGGAUGGAAAUCGGAUGAAGAGUGCAUAGGCAUAAGGAGGCUUUACUGUGAGGGAGACAUCCUGAGCAGUUGCGAAAGCAGGUCUAAGUGAUCCUUUGGCAGAUAGUGGUAUCGCCAGUGAUUAACGAAGAUAAGCUACCCCGGGGAUAACAGGCCAGUCGCGGCCGAAAGUUCACAUUGACGCCGCGGUUCGGCACCUCGAUGUCGGCUCGUCACUUCCUGGGGGUGGAUAAUCCCCCAAGGGUUGGACUGUUCGCCCAUUAAAGUGGCACGUGAGCUGGGUUCAGACCGGCGUGAGCCAGGUCGGUCUCUAUCCUGUACGGGCGUUGUAUACUUGAAGGGAUUGGCCCCUAGUACGAAAGGAUCGGGGCGAGGCAGACCUCUAGUGUACCAGUUGUUCUACCAAGGGCAUUGCUGGGUAGCUAAGUCGCUAUUUGGAUAAGCACUGAAAGCAUAUAAGUGCGAAGCCAGCCCUAAGAUUAAGUAUACUUCUCUCCUUUAAGGAGAGGUAAGAUCCCCAGUAGACUACUGGGUUGAUAGGUCUCAGGUGUAAGUCCAGUAAUGGAUUUAGCCAAGAGAUACUAAUAGAUCAAAAGCUC
rnacentral:rRNA from 1 species